rnacentral:rRNA from 1 species
UACGUAGGGUGCAAGCGUUGUCCGGAAUUAUUGGGCGUAAAGAGCUUGUAGGCGGUUUGUCGCGUCUGCUGUGAAAUUUCGGGGCUCAACCCCGAAACUUGCAGUGGGUACGGGCAGACUAGAGUGUGGUAGGGGAGACUGGAAUUCCUGGUGUAGCGGUGAAAUGCGCAGAUAUCAGGAAGAACACCUAUGGCGAAGGCAGCUCUCUGGGACGGUACUGACGCUGAGAGCGAAAGCGUGGGGAGCGAACAGG